GCUUCCGAUCGGCUCGAUGCGAGGCAGCAUCGCCGGUGGUGCUAUGGUCGCUGGCCAUGCGGUUUGGGGCUACAAGAAGAGUGCCGGCACUUGACGUUGUUCGGGCACGCGAUCCAUGCGAUAGACUAUCCGAUGUCUCGGCUACGGCUUCAUGGAGCUUUGAAGGUGCAUCGAUCCGCUCUCUCUCAGGCUACGACUGAUCCGCGUUCUUAUGUUUAAUUAGUGCUGCAGCAUACUUCACAAUGCUCUUUCAGACAGUCUGGUUGUGUUUGCAAACAGAGUUUUUUCUUGAUUCACCUGCAAUAUAACUAGUUUAAAGAAAUAGAUCUACAUUUCCAACUAAUAUCCUUGUGCAUGGGGUGAAAUUGCAUCAGCAUACAUCACAUUUUUCAUUUCAUAUGUUUUAUAAUAUGCUUUUCUUCAGCAAUUGCCUUUUUCAAUGUGUUGUUAAAUAGCUCUAUCACCAUAGAUACUCUUUAUUUAGUAGAAAGGCUAAGGGUGUGUUUGGUUUACGCACGUUCCAUUUUCAUUUUUUGAAAAACGCACAUUUUCUAGAAAAUAAAAAAUAACUUUUGUCAUUCUCUAUUUUUCCAAAAAAUACUAUCUAUUUUUUUAGAAAACAGACAUAAAAAAUGCAAACCAAACACCAUUUUUCAGAAAUACGCGUUUUUCAAAAAAUAAAAAUGAAAAAUAUGCAAACCAAACGCACCCUAAGUUUUUGUCAAUUUAUGAUUAAGUAUAUACACUUGAGGUGACCCUUGCCAAUGGUCUGUCUUCAGAUUCAGCAUAUUUAUUAUUUUCUACUUCGAUGAAGUAUAGCAAUGAUCCUGAUACCAAUCAAUGGAGAUGGACCUUGUAAAAUGUCUUCGGAAAUUUUAUGGACAUAGAGUUCCUCUCGAUAUCUAAUUUUUUUGCUUGGCUUGUUUCUUUGUUCUACAAACUCCUGAGUCCAAUGUGUUCUUCGAGCCUCAAGGCAUGGAUGAUGGAUCUAACCGCAAUAUGCAUACACUUUGGAACUUUGGAAUCACACUUUAGCCAAGUGUGCAUUUUCAAUUUCAGGAGCAGAUCAGGAGCUCAUGUGGCCUUUCUUGAUAUUGAGUACAAAAGGAGAUGCAGCAUCAUUUGGAAAUUGUGAAAGAGCAAGAGCAUACAUACAAAGAAGAAAAUUUUAUUCUCUAAAAGAAUUUGAUAGUACCCGGGAGCAGAAGUGUUAAAGAUUUGUGAUUUGGUGACAGUGGAUGAUAGAUGGAGGUGAUCCAAUGCACUACUACAUGAAUGCAUCUUGUUAUCCUUAAAGAUUUGUGAUUCGAUGAUAGUGGAGAUAGAUGGAGGGGAUCCAAUGCACUAAUCAGAUCUCAGUGCUCUGCUCUUUAAUGUGUUUGCCAACUCUUCUGAUACCUCCACAAGCAGUGACCCACAUGAACAACCCCAGACUUGCAGGCUGCACUAGGGGUGUCCAUCAUUUGUAGGUUGAAAGCUACACAGAUUUUGUUAUGCCUUUCUUUAUUGGAUUUAUUGCAUGGUUUUAGCUCAUCUAAUUUAAUCUUUGAAUUUUAGUAAAUCAAUAUU